CAACGAACUCCAGAUCAGUUCAGAAAUCGGAAGUGAACGAACAACAACUCGAAAUUUUCUACCAAAACAAAUACAAGUAACAAAUUUUGUUUUCAAAUUUUUAUCAAAACUAGGAACUAUUCCGAUAUGGUGCGACCAAGGAAACCCUCUAGUCUGCUAAGGACAACAUAUUGUUAUCUGAUGAGGAUCUACUACAAUCGCUUCUGGUGGAGCAUGAUCAAGAGCUAUGGACUCUUCUUUUUGGCCAUAACAUUGAGCCGUUACUUGCAUGGCUACGAAAUUAUGCCCGAAGCCGUCUGUUAAAAUCUGGCUCCAAAUGACUUGACUGCCUCCUUCCCAUUUUUGAAAUUCGAACUGAUUGAUGAAGCAAAGUAUAUUUUUUGGAUAAAUUUGUCAAAAUUAUGAAACCACAUUAAAUGCAAUUUUAUUCUUGGA